UACGUAGGAGACGAGCGUUGUCCGGAGUUACUGGGCGUAAAGGGUGCGCAGGUGGUAAUGUAAGUCUGGCGUGAAAUUUUUCGGCUUAACCUGGAAACUGCCAUUGAUACUAUUAGUCUUGAAUUUUGUUGAGGUGGGCAGAAUAUGUCAUGUAGCGGUGAAAUGCAUAGAUAUGACAUAGAAUACCAAUUGCGAAGGCAGCUCGCUAAACAAAUAUUGACGCUGAGGCACGAAAGCGUGGGGAUCAAACAGG
rnacentral:rRNA from 1 species